CCGGAGGCUGCCUCCCUGGUUCCCCCUGAUCUGCGCGGUUGGACCUUCAUAGCGUUGUUCAACCACAUCCACAUGGUGGUAUGUGCGAGCGAUGACGCCGGUGGCCUGUGGCCAGAUAUGGAGGCUUAGCUAAUGCAGCAGCAUGGCAACUUAGAUGCGAGCACUAGCUGUUUGUAUAAAUGCACAAGGAGGAGUGCUCAGGGGAGGACGAUAGUUGUUUGUAUAAAUGCACAAGGAGGAGUGCUUAG